CGCGCCCAGGCACUGCGGAGGGCCAGCCCCACGUGGGGGGUGGGGAGGGAUGCCCGCUCCGCCCCGUCCCCUCCGCGCCGGGCCUCGUCUCAGCCCGCCACGGAGUGGGCGGGACGCCAGGCAGGCGGGGGACGCGGCGGCUGCCAGCCAAGGGGCCGGAGCCAAGAGAUUUGCAUUGGAAGCGCCAUCCUCUUGCGCGUCUGAUGAGGAAGCAGAACCCGGUGACCGACUGAGCUGCAUUUCUGAAGCAUUUGCUGGGUUUUGCCUCACUAAGCCUCGGGGAGCACUGGGGCGCGGGAUGGGGGACCCUGUCACGGAGCCGACACCUGCUCGCGCGCCUCUCCCCCGCUCACGCCGUGCCGCGGGCUCGCCCUCCCCAUCUGCAGCGCCCGCAGCGCCUGCCCGCCCCGCCCAUCCUUCCUCCUGGGCAACCCAGAGGAUGGCGUGAGGACUCCUGGAAGCCCAGAGGACCGGACCAGGGGCGUGGUGGGGAGCCGUAGACCCGAGUUUUUAUCCUUCUCUGGCGCCGACACUCGGCUGCGGAAUCGAGUUUGAGCUCGGUGUAGCUGAAGUUUAAAUUGUAGCUGUUUCAAAGGUAGACCCCACCUCACCCCCACCCCUGGACCAAGACCUCUGGAAGCGUCCUGCCUGGAAGCCGCUUGUGGGGAGGGCUCUCCUAGGGUCUCCAGGCUCCCGCUGGAGCACGCCUGGAGAUGCCUUGGGAGUCUGAGGAACCCCAGAUUCAGCACCCCUGCUUAACCUGCUUUUAAGAAGAAAAAAAUGGAACUUGAUAAACUUCACUCAAAGGAGAGACCCACUAAUAACUCCACACACCUCACACCGAGUGAAGACGCUGAGACAAUGUAUGUGUGCUCCAGGAAUGACUGGAUGAAACAAAAAGAGAGUCUGGAUGCCAUUAAAAUGUUUGACUAUUGGAUUCCCACGGUUUGGGAUGGGAAGCAGAACUCGGUGAAACUGUAGGUUCUGUGUCCGGGCCAAGCGUUGCUGAAAGGUGGAAGAAUUCAUGGAAAGAAGGUUAUACCAGAAACCAAGAUCUGCUUUUUAAAAGGGAACAUGUACGCUCAUGUUUUGGCUUGAAUUCACUGCCUUUCACCUAUGUGUGGUCCCUCCUGUGCCGAGUCAGCAUGGAGUUCAGGACUCCUAGAGUGGAGCUAGCUCCCGUCCUUCCAAAUGCAGCAAUGACAUUAAGGACAUUCGUUCACAUGGUUCACAGUUGGUGUUGGGAAGUUGUCCUACCUGGACAUUGCUGUCAGAGCCAUGGACUAAAAUACUCAAUUCUGGCCUAAAUAAAGCAAGCUCUCGGUGUUAAAGACUUUUUUUUUUUUUUUUUUUUUUUUGAGAUGGAGUCUUGCUCUGUUGCCCGGGCUGGAAUGUAAUGGUGUGAUCUCAGCUUACUGCAACCUCCACCUCCCAGGUUCAAGCAAUUCUCCUGCCUCAGCCUCCUGAGUAGCUGGGAUUACAGGUGCACGCCACCAUACCUGCUAAUUUUUGUAUUAUUAGCAGAGGCGGGGUUUCACCAUGUUGGCCAGGCUGGUCUCCAACUCCUGGCUUCAAGUGAUCCACCCGCCUCAGCCUCCCAAAGUGCUGGGAUUACAGGCGUGAGCCACAGUGCCUGGCCUUUUUGAGGAUUAUUAUAAGUAAAAGAAAAUUCAGACCACGAACAUAGCAUUCCUUUAGGUGUUUUGCAUAGAUAUAGUUUUUUGCUUUACUGUGGGUCCACUGGGAAAAGGUUUGUGGAAAUCUGAGCAGCUGAUGUUUGUGUGCUCAGAUUCUUUGGGACCUAUCUAUAAGACUUGGCGAGGCAAUACGGCUUCCACCAUUUCCCCAGGGAAAAAGUUACUCAAGGUUACUGAACUCAUGAAACCAUGUGGAUUUCCAGCAUGUGUUAUUAUAAUCUCACUAACCUUCCGAUUUUAAAACGCUGUAACUCUGUAAUUUUUUUCUGUGGUCAGCCCUUCCCAAAGGUAUCCACCUUCCAGUUUGUCCUGUGGAGCACGCUCUUGGCAGAGUUUGGCAUUGUUUGUUAUCAGGGGGUUUGAUUUAUGUAAAAUUGCAUUAAAUCACUAAUAAGGAAGACUUUGUUUAAUUUGUAUUUUUGGAGGGAAAGAAAUAUUUUAUGGUAUAACCAUCAUAAAUCU
rnacentral:lncRNA from 1 species